ACCCUUUAAUGUUUGAUGUUCUAACGUGGACCCGUGAUCCGGGUUGCGGACAGUGUCUGGUGGGUAGUUUGACUGGGGCGGUCUCCUCCUAAAGAGUAACGGAGGAGCACGAAGGUUGGCUAAUCCUGGUCGGACAUCAGGAGGUUAGUGCAAUGGCAUAAGCCAGCUUGACUGCGAGCGUGACGGCGCGAGCAGGUGCGAAAGCAGGUCAUAGUGAUCCGGUGGUUCUGAAUGGAAGGGCCAUCGCUCAACGGAUAAAAGGUACUCCGGGGAUAACAGGCUGAUACCGCCCAAGAGUUCAUAUCGACGGCGGUGUUUGGCACCUCGAUGUCGGCUCAUCACAUCCUGGGGCUGAAGUAGGUCCCAAGGGUAUGGCUGUUCGCCAUUUAAAGUGGUACGCGAGCUGGGUUUAGAACGUCGUGAGACAGUUCGGUCCCUAUCUGCCGUGGGCGCUGGAGAACUGAGGGGGGCUGCUCCUAGUACGAGAGGACCGGAGUGGACGCAUCACUGGUGUUCGGGUUGUCAUGCCAAUGGCACUGCCCGGUAGCUAAAUGCGGAAGAGAUAAGUGCUGAAAGCAUCUAAGCACGAAACUUGCCCCGAGAUGAGUUCUCCCUGAGACUUAAAGUCUCCUGAAGGAACGUUGAAGACGACGA
rnacentral:rRNA from 2 species